AAUUUGAAAUCUGGCUCUUUUAGAGUCCGAGUUGUAAUUUGCAGAGGGCGCUUUGGCUUUGGCAGCGGUCCAAGUUCCUUGGAACAGGACGUCACAGAGGGUGAGAAUCCCGUACGUGGUCGCUGGCUAUUGCCGUGUAAAGCCCCUUCGACGAGUCGAGUUGUUUGGGAAUGCAGCUCUAAAUGGGAGGUACAUUUCUUCUAAAGCUAAAUAUUGGCCAGAGACCGAUAGCGCACAAGUAGAGUGAUCGAAAGAUGAAAAGCACUUUGGAAAGAGAGUCAAACAGCACGUGAAAUUGUUGAAAGGGAAGCGCUUGCAGCCAGACUUGCUUGCAGUUGCUCAUCCGGGCUUUUGCCCGGUGCACUCUUCUGCAGGCAGGCCAGCAUCAGUUUGGGCGGUAGGAUAAAGGUCUCUGUCACGUACCUCUCUUCGGGGAGGCCUUAUAGGGGAGGCGACAUACUACCAGCCUGGACUGAGGUCCGCGCAUCUGCUAGGAUGCUGGCGUAAUGGCUGUAAGCGGCCCGUCUUGAAACACGGACCAGGAAGU
rnacentral:rRNA from 1 species